UCUCACCAAAGCUUCUGGCUUCGGUCUGUGAUCCUUGUAAGAAUGAUUCAGGCUGACAAAGAAGCUCCAAUUUUAUUUGUGUUACAAUGCAGAUGGGAAGUUCAUUCAAGAAAGCAAUAUUUGAUGAACAUAUUCAAGAGGGUCUUGUUGGUUGGGCUAAGCAGGCCAAAAAGAAGACAGUUCUUAGAAAGGCUGCUAAUGGCUCUAGCCAAGUUGGUCACAAGGAGGAUUCCCCUGGGGCAGUCCUGUUAACAAAAAUAGGUUCAGAGAGAUCUACAACUGAAGAGAGAAAAGCAGGAGAGAUUUCGCAAGAAAACUACCCCUGAUAGGCCUAAUGAACAGCAUUAUCCUUCUAUAAUAUAAGUUGAGAGAGCUAAUAUUCCAGAAUUGCUUUGUGUGCCAAUUCUGAGUCCAAGUUACUAUGAUUUUAUACCCUUUUGCUUUAAUAACUGUAUUAUAUUUCAAGAUUGCUCUGUUAUAAAAUUGAUGCAUUUAGAUGGGAUUGGAUAUUGCUAUCUUUUCUUCAUAUCUCACUACCACGUUUAAAUAUCACGGGAAGUGUAUCAUCCUUUCAUUUUUCAGAGUUACUAGAAG
rnacentral:misc_RNA from 1 species